rnacentral:rRNA from 1 species
AUUGAACGCUGGCGGCAGGCCUAACACAUGCAAGUCGAGCGGAUGAGAGGAGCUUGCUCUUUGAUUCAGCGGCGGACGGGUGAGUAAUGCCUAGGAAUCUGCCUGGUAGUGGGGGACAACGUUUCGAAAGGAACGCUAAUACCGCAUACGUCCUACGGGAGAAAGUGGGGGAUCUUCGGACCUCACGCUAUUAGAUGAGCCUAGGUCGGAUUAGCUAGUUGGUGAGGUAAUGGCUCACCAAGGCGACGAUCCGUAACUGGUCUGAGAGGAUGAUCAGUCACACUGGAACUGAGACACGGUCCAGACUCCUACGGGAGGCAGCAGUGGGGAAUAUUGGACAAUGGGCGCAAGCCUGAUCCAGCCAUGCCGCGUGUGUGAAGAAGGUCUUCGGAUUGUAAAGCACUUUAAGUUGGGAGGAGGCUACCUGGAUUAAUACUCUGGAUAGUGGACGUUACUCGCAGAAUAAGCACCGGCUAACUACGUGCCAGCCGCCGCGGUAAUAC